UAAGGGCACCACAAGAACGCGUGGAGCAUGUGGCUUAAUUUGACUCAACGCGGGGUAUCUUACUAGGUCCGGACCGAUUCUAUGAUCGUCGUACUGUGGGGUGCUACGUGAUUACUGGAUGAGUGGUGCAUGGCCGUUCUUAGUUCGUGGUGUUAAUUGUCUACUUAAUUGUCAUUCCCGUAUCUCACAUGCGGAACCACAACGAACGAGAUCGAGACCCGUGGUUGCGUGUGUUUGAAUUCGGUAUUACUACGGGGAUCGCGUAUUACUCCACGGUACGAUCGAAAGACUCGGCAAUAACAGGUCUGUGAUGCCCUCAGAUGUUCUAGGCUGCACACGUGCUACAGUGUGGUUCCCCGUACUGUGUGUAUGCGUAGAUAUCUGAUAAGAUCCCCCGCACCGAGUCAUAACUGGUCACACGGUUGGACUCACCGAUUGUCAAUUAUUCAGUAUACUAACUAGGAAUGCCUCGUACGGG
rnacentral:rRNA from 1 species